UGGCGUACGGGUGCGUAACACGUAGGUAAUCAACCCUCAAGGCGGGCAUAACUGUGAGAAAUCAUGGCUAAUUCCCGAUGAUGCAGCGGCACCGCAGGGUGACAGUUGUUAAAGCUUCCAAAAGAGGCGCUUGAGGACGAGCCUGCGGCCCAUUAGGUAGUUGGCGGGGUAACGGCCCACCAAGCCCGCGAUGGGUAGCCGGUCUGAGAGGAUGAUCGGCCACAUUGGGACUGAGACACGGCCCAGACUCCUACGGGAGGCAGCAGUGAGGAAUAUUGCUCAAUGGGCGAAAGCCUGAAGCAGCAACGCCGCGUGCGGGAUGAAGGCGCUCUGCGUCGUAAACCGCUGUAGGACGGGAAAAAUGCCCUUCUUUGAAGGGAGCGAUGGUACCGUCAAAGUAAGCCUCGGCUAACUACGUGCCAGCAGCCGCGGUAAUACGUAGGAGGCAAGCGUUGUCCGGAAUCACUGGGUGUAAAGGGUGCGCAGGCGGGGAAGUAAGUCAGAGGUGAAAGCCCACGGCUCAACCGUGGAACUGCCUUUGAUACUGCUUCUCUUGAGUUCGGGAGAGGGUGGUGGAAUUCCUGGUGUAGCGGUGAAAUGCGUAGAUAUCAGGAAGAACACCAGUGGCGAAGGCGGCCACCUGGCCCGUAACUGACGCUCAGGCACGAAAGCGUGGGUAGCAAACAGGAUUAGAUACCCUGGUAGUCCACGCCCUAAACUAUGAGUACUUGAUGUUGGCGUCGAAGGGCGUCAGUGUCGUAUGUAACCCGAUAGUACUCCACCUGGGAAGUACGCUCGCAAGGGUGAACUCAAGGAAUUGACGGGGGCCCGCACAAGCGGUGGAACAUGUGGUUUAAUUCG
rnacentral:rRNA from 1 species